ensembl:rRNA 5S_rRNA 5S ribosomal RNA
UCUACGGCCAUACCAUCCUGAACGCGCCCGAUCUCGUCUGAUCUCGGAAAUGGGUCUAAGUGGCUCUAGGAAUGGUUUUGAAUGCUUUUUGCCAUGUAAGGAGUUACCGUUAGGU